UACGUAGGGACCGAGCGUUGUCCGGAUUCAUUGGGCGUAAAGAGCUCGUAGGCGGCCACUCAAGUCGAAUGUGAAACCUCGAGGCUUAACCUCGAGCCUGCAUUCGAUACUGGGCGGCUAGAGUCUGGUAGGGGGAUCUGGAAUUCCUGGUGUAGCGGUGAAAUGCGCAGAUAUCAGGAGGAACACCAGUGGCGAAGGCGGUGCUCUGGGCCGGAACUGACGCUGAGGAGCGAAAGCGUGGGGAGCAAACAGG
rnacentral:rRNA from 1 species